UACGUAGGGCGCAAGCGUUGUCCGGAAUUAUUGGGCGUAAAGAGCUCGUAGGCGGCUUGUCACGUCGGGUGUGAAAGCCCGGGGCUUAACCCCGGGUCUGGAUUCGAUACUGCCGUGCUUGAGGACUGGAGAGGAGACUGGAAUUUACGGUGUAGCGGUGAAAUGCGUAGAUAUCGUAAGGAAGACCAGUGGCGAAGGCGGGUCUCUGGGCCGAUACUGACGCUGAGGAGCGAAAGCGUGGGGAGCGAACAGG
rnacentral:rRNA from 1 species